UACAGAGGGUGCGAGCGUUAAUCGGAAUUACUGGGCGUAAAGCGCGCGUAGGCGGCUUUGCAAGUCGGGCGUGAAAUCCCUAGGCUCAACCUAGGAACUGCACUCGAAACUGCGUUUCUUGAGUGCCGGAGAGGAAAGCGGAAUUCCUGGUGUAGAGGUGAAAUUCGUAGAUAUCAGGAGGAACACCAGUGGCGAAGGCGGCUUUCUGGACUGCAUCUGACACUGAAAGACGAAAGCCAGGGGAGCAAACGGG
rnacentral:rRNA from 1 species